rnacentral:rRNA from 1 species
GAGUUUGAUCGUGGCUCAGAACGAACGCUGGCGGCAUGCCUAACACAUGCAAGUCGAACGGGAUCCUGGCUUCGGUCAGGUGAGAGUGGCGGACGGGUGAGUAACGCGUGGGAACCUGCCCAGUGGUGGGGGAUAACUGCGGGAAACUGCAGCUAAUACCGCAUGAGCCCGAGAGGGGAAAGAUUUAUCGCCAUUGGAGGGGCCCGCGUUCGAUUAGGUAGUUGGUGAGGUAACGGCUCACCAAGCCGACGAUCGAUAGCUGGUCUGAGAGGAUGAUCAGCCACACUGGGACUGAGAUACGGCCCAGACUCCUACGGGAGGCAGCAGUGGGGAAUUGUUCGCAAUGGGCGCAAGCCUGACGACGCAACGCCGCGUGGAGGAUGAAGAUCUUCGGGUCGUAAACUCCUUUCGAUCGAGACGAACGGCCCCUGGGCUAAUCACCAGGGGAGUGACGGUACCGAGAGAAGAAGCCCCGGCUAACUCCGUGCCAGCCGCCGCCGUAAG